CCUACGGGAGGCAGCAGUGGGGAAUCUUGCGCAAUGGGCGAAAGCCUGACGCAGCAACGCCGCGUGCGGGAAGAAGGCCUUAGGGUUGUAAACCGCUUUCAGUAGGAACGAAAAUGACGGUACCUGCAGAAGAAGGUGCGGCCAACUACGUGCCAGCAGCCGCGGUGACACGUAGGCACCAAGCGUUGUCCGGAUUUAUUGGGCGUAAAGAGCUCGUAGGCGGUUCAGUAAGUCGGGUGUGAAAACUCUGGGCUUAACCCAGAGCCGCCACUCGAUACUGCUGUGACUUGAGUUCGGUAGGGGAGCAGGGAAUUCCUAGUGUAGCGGUGAAAUGCGCAGAUAUUAGGAGGAACACCGGUGGCGAAGGCGCUGCUCUGGGCCGAUACUGACGCUGAGGAGCGAAAGCGUGGGUAGCAAACAGGAUUAGAUACCCUGGUAGUCCACGCCGUAAACGUUGGGCACUAGGUGUGGGUUCCAACCAACGGAAUCCGCGCCGUCGCUAACGCAUUAAGUGCCCGCCUGGGGAGUACGGCGGCAACGCUAAACUCAAAUGAAUUGACGG
rnacentral:rRNA from 1 species